GUGCUCGCUUCAGCAGCACAUACACUAAAAUUGGAAUGAUACAGUGCAGAUUAGCAUGGCCCCUGUGCAAGGAUGACAUGCAAAUUCAUGAAGCAUUCCAUAUUUUU
rnacentral:snRNA from 1 species